UGGUGGGUAGUUUGACUGGGGCGGUCUCCUCCCAAAGCGUAACGGAGGAGCACGAAGGUUAGCUAAUCCUGGUCGGACAUCAGGAGGUUAGUGCAAUGGCAUAAGCUAGCUUGACUGCGAGCGUGACGGCGCGAGCAGGUGCGAAAGCAGGUCAUAGUGAUCCGGUGGUUCUGAAUGGAAGGGCCAUCGCUCAACGGAUAAAAGGUACUCCGGGGAUAACAGGCUGAUACCGCCCAAGAGUUCAUAUCGACGGCGGUGUUUGGCACCUCGAUGUCGGCUCAUCACAUCCUGGGGCUGAAGUAGGUCCCAAGGGUAUGGCUGUUCGCCAUUUAAAGUGGUACGCGAGCUGGGUUUAGAACGUCGUGAGACAGUUCGGUCCCUAUCUGCCGUGGGCGCUGGAGAAUUGAGGGGGGCUGCUCCUAGUACGAGAGGACCGGAGUGGACGCAUCACUGGUGUUCGGGUUGUCAUGCCAAUGGCACUGCCCGGUAGCUAAAUGCGGAAGAGAUAAGUGCUGAAAGCAUCUAAGCACGAAACUUGCCCCGAGAUGAGUUCUCCCUGAGACUUUAAGUCUCCUGAAGGAACGUUGAAGACGACGACGUUG
rnacentral:rRNA from 1 species